GAGCAGCGCCCCGUGAGUCCCCGGCCGUCUGUGAGCCCCGGGGAACCGACCCAGAGUCUGCGCAGGCGGCUCCGGGAGGCUCGCACGCGGGGGAGGGUCUCUGGAGGCAGAUAGGGCUCUGCAGGCUCGUCACAGGGAGCCAGGACACGCUCGCUCACACCCGGGGCUGCCGAGGCCAGGGCAGGCCGGCUACGCAGAGCUGUUCCUUCCCCGGAAGCAGGUCUAGGACCAGAAGCGCUUCCCCCUGCAUCCCCCGCCCUGCGGAGGGAGGGCGCAGAGGAAAGGCUCCGACAGAGAGAGCGGCGGGCUUUCCGGGGUUAAGGAAGGCCCACGAGGACAAGCAAGUGGGGUCACCAGCCAGCAGGAGAGAAGCAACGAGCGGCGAGCGUCCGGGACAAGUGGGAGGAUGUCACCAGCCACUUCAACCGCUGAGAUAGAUCCUGGCUAAAGCACGGUGUGACGAGGGGCUUCCUCCGCUAUGCAGAAGACAGCUUGAUGACCUAGCGAGUGAGUGAACUAACCUGAGGAGAAGAACCCCUGAUCAAAGGCAACGCAGCAGACAGUCAUCUGACCAGAGACCACGCAUCAUCCUGAGCCAGGAUUCAGCUGGUCAGUGGACAAAAGAGCCCAAUUAAACCACCAAGCUGCAGCAAACGCGCUCAGGAAGGGCCUCAGCACAGGCCUGGAGCACUGAAGAACGUCUCCUCAGUGCGGGCUUUGGGAACAGCCUUCAGGCAGACAGUGAGGCCCCGCACAGCCUCUGCUCCUGGAAAAGCCCUGAAGGCCUGUGCGAUGUGCCCUUGGGAUGAUACUGGGGUCUCCCAAGGCUCCACCCUAGGUGGGCCCCGUUGCCUCCUCCGUUCACCCUUCCCCAGCCACAUCAGGUACCAGGGCAGUCCCAUCCUCAGAGCAGGCUGCAGGCUGUGAGGCUCCUGGAGCUGGGUCUGUGCUAUCCCGUUAGCCUGGGAUGCUGCCUUCUCCACCCCUCAAUGAUCACAACCCAUCUCUCCCCUCAAGGUGCCGUUCAAACGCUCCUUUUCUGCAGCCCCCGUCUCCUCCUGUUGCGAUCCUAGAGCACAUUGCUUGCAUGUUGCUGAACAGAUGCCCAUCCUGAUCUGGGAUUCAGUAGUGGUCUCCACCGCCACCCUUCCCACCAAGCUACUCUGCCACUUCCCUCAAGGGCAGAGACGGGUAGGGGAACUUCAUCUACAGACUGCCUGUCACUUGCCGGGCACCGUGCUGGUUGCUAUAUGAGAAUACCAUUUAAUCCCCGUGUCCACUGCAAGGCAGUCAUUGUCAUACCCAUUUUACAGAUGAGAUUUGCCAAAUAAAGGCAGAG